AGUCUAAUCUCAGAAACAGAACACACGAUUAAAGAUUUAGGUUUAUUCUUAUGAAAACUUUUUGAAAGAGAGAGAUAGAUAGAGAGAGAAUGAGAACCGUGUGAUGUUGCUUAUCAAUGGCGGUAAGAUUUGUGUAAUACUCUGUUUCCAAGAACUCAUCUACUGCAGAUGAAUCUCCCUCACCUAGAACCUGACCCUGUUUUAUUUUGACAGCCAGGAAAAAAAAACUCAACAUUUAACGACAACGUUAGUUUAUGUAAAGAGAAAAGAGUUGAGUUUUAGAGAAACCGAACAUGAGUUUGUGACUGGAG
rnacentral:lncRNA from 1 species